rnacentral:rRNA from 1 species
UAGGGAAUCUUCCACAAUGGACGCAAGUCUGAUGGAGCAACGCCGCGUGAGUGAAGAAGGUCUUCGGAUCGUAAAGCUCUGUUGUUGGUGAAGAAGGAUAGAGGCAGUAACUGGUCUUUAUUUGACGGUAAUCAACCAGAAAGUCACGGCUAACUACGUGCCAGCAGCCGCGGUAAUACGUAGGUGGCAAGCGUUGUCCGGAUUUAUUGGGCGUAAAGCGAGCGCAGGCGGAAUGAUAAGUCUGAUGUGAAAGCCCACGGCUCAACCGUGGAACUGCAUCGGAAACUGUCAUUCUUGAGUGCAGAAGAGGAGAGUGGAACUCCAUGUGUAGCGGUGGAAUGCGUAGGUAUAUGGAAGAACACCAGUGGCGAAGGCGGCUCUCUGGUCUGCAACUGACGCUGAGGCUCGAAAGCAUGGGUAGCGAACAGGAUUAGAUACCCUGGUAGUCCAUGCCGUAAACGAUGAGCGCUAGGUGUUGGGGACUUUCCGGUCCUCAGUGCCGCAGCAAA